rnacentral:ncRNA from 2 species
CUAUCCCGCGCGGGAGAGUCUCCGGGUCGCUGGCCGGCCCGGGGCGCCGAAGGGGCAAUUCCUCCCCGGAACCUCUCAGGCACCCGGACCGCGCGGUCGAG